UACGUAGGGUGCGAGCGUUGUCCGGAAUUAUUGGGCGUAAAGGGCUCGUAGGCGGUUUGUCGCGUCGGGAGUGAAAUCCACUGGCUUAACUGGUGGCUUGCUUUCGAUACGGGCAGACUGGAGGUAUGCAGGGGAGAACGGAAUUCCUGGUGUAGCGGUGAAAUGCGCAGAUAUCAGGAGGAACACCGGUGGCGAAGGCGGUUCUCUGGGCAUGUCCUGACGCUCAUGCACGAAAGCGUGGGGAGCAAACAGG
rnacentral:rRNA from 1 species